rnacentral:rRNA from 1 species
CCGAGUUGUAAUUUGCAGAGGAUGCUUUUGGCGCGGUGCCUUCCGAGUUCCCUGGAACGGGACGCCUUAGAGGGUGAGAGCCCCGUACGGUUGGACACCAAGCCUCUGUAAAGCUCCUUCGACGAGUCGAGUAGUUUGGGAAUGCUGCUCUAAAUGGGAGGUAAAUUUCUUCUAAAGCUAAAUACCGGCCAGAGACCGAUAGCGCACAAGUAGAGUGAUCGAAAGAUGAAAAGCACUUUGAAAAGAGGGUUAAAUAGCACGUGAAAUUGUUGAAAGGGAAGCGUUUACGGCCAGACCUUUUCCUGGCGGAUCAUCUGGUGUUCUCACCAGUGCACUCCGCCAGGUUUAGGCCAGCAUCGGCUCCCGUAGGGGGAUAA